GGCUCAGGAUGAGCGCUGGCGGCGUGCUUAACACAUGCAAGUCGAACGGACUUAUCUUAUGAAGCUUGCUUCGCGAGAUAAGUUAGUGGCGGACGGGUGAGUAACGCGUGGGUAACCUGCCGUAUGCUGGGGGGACAACAGUUGGAAACGACUGCUAAUACCGCAUAAGCCUACAGAAUGGCAUCGUUCAGUAGGAAAAACUCCGGUGGUAUGAGAUGGACCCGCGUCUGAUUAGCUAGUUGGUGGGGUAACGGCCUACCAAGGCGACGAUCAGUAGCCGACCUGAGAGGGUGACCGGCCACAUUGGGACUGAGACACGGCCCAAACUCCUACGGGAGGCAGCAGUGAGGAAUAUUGGUCAAUGGAGGCAACUCUGAACCAGCCAAGUAGCGUGAGGGAUGACUGCCCUACGGGUUGUAAACCUCUUUUGUCGGGGAAUAAACCGCGCCACGCGUGGCGCCCUGCAUGUACCCGCAGAAUAAGGACCGGCUAAUUCCGUG
rnacentral:rRNA from 1 species